GUAGGGCACAGAAGCGAGCAAGUAAAGAGACGCAAAAGAGAAUCUCCCCUCCUCUGUUGUACUCCUCCCGAUAUUGUAGAGCAGUCAACAAAAUUAUUCAUUUGUAAAGUUUGCUUGCUUCUGCUAAGCAUAGCAUAAAUUUCGAGCAGUUUUUUCUCUUCUUACCUUUUUCGAAAUGAAUUGUCUCAAAUUUCGGCUUGUCGCUGUCGCGAUUCUCAUCUUCAAUGUGGUCACCGCUCUGAAUUACCAGAGUGAGGAGGCGGUGGGAGUGGAGCAUGAACGAGAUCGGGAUAGCCUUGGAGGUGGCCACAUUCUUCGCGGUCUGGAUUCAAUAGGAGAGAGCAAUCUACUGCGGGCAAUUUACCGAGAAAAACCCCGCGACUUUUUGCGGAUAAAUCGAGGACUGGACUCGCUUAGUGGUGCUUCUUUCGGUAUCGAAAAGCGCUUAGACUCUUUGACUGGUCUAGGAUUUGGCAGUCAGAAGAGAAACCUGGAUGAAAUUGAUAGGUCGAAUUUUGGAACAUUCGCCAAGAGGAACCUCGACGAAAUCGAUCGCAGUGAUUUUGGUCGCUUUGUCAAGAAGAGAGAAACCAUGGAAGCGGAAAGUUCUCAACAGCAGCACUAAACAGAAUAAUUCAUAAUUUGGGUGAAGUCCAAUAUGGAUAGAUAAAUAGAUCACUUAGGACUACACGCGGCAUUACACAGUUUUUCACCACGGCUCUUUUCUCAUCAUGUGUAUCUAUGGUGACUCCUUUCAAUAAACAAACAUAUUUCAAUCAAA
rnacentral:misc_RNA from 1 species